rnacentral:rRNA from 1 species
UCCUUUGGCCAUAGAAACCCUAAAUGUGCCAGAUCUCAUCAGCUCUCUGAAGCUAAGCAGGCUUUAGCCUUGCUAGUACAGUACUUGGAUCAGUAACCGCUUGGGCAUGCCAGGUGCUGUAGGCA